UAGGGAAUCUUCGGCAAUGGGGGGAACCCUGACCGAGCAACGCCGCGUGAGUGAAGAAGGUUUUCGGAUCGUAAAGCUCUGUUGUUAAGGAAGAACGAGUGUGAGAAUGGAAAGUUCAUGCUGUGACGGUACUUAACCAGAAAGGGACGGCUAACUACGUGCCAGCAGCCGCGGUAAUACGUAGGUCCCGAGCGUUGUCCGGAUUUAUUGGGCGUAAAGCGAGCGCAGGCGGUUAGAAAAGUCUGAAGUGAAAGGCAGUGGCUCAACCAUUGUAGGCUUUGGAAACUGUUUAACUUGAGUGCGGAAGGGGAGAGUGGAAUUCCAUGUGUAGCGGUGAAAUGCGUAGAUAUAUGGAGGAACACCGAUGGCGAAAGCGGCUCUCUGGUCUGUAACUGACGCUGAGGCUCGAAAGCGUGGGGAGCGAACAGG
rnacentral:rRNA from 1 species